rnacentral:rRNA from 1 species
GACGAACGCUGGCGGCGUGCUUAACACAUGCAAGUCGAACGGAAAGGCCUGUCCUUCCUUGUGUUAGACGGGUGCUCGAGUGGCGAACGGGUGAGUAACACGUGAGUGAUCUGCCCCCAACUUGGGUAUAAGCCUGGGAAACUGGGUCUAAUUCCCGAUAGGACUGCAGGGUGGUGCCUGUGGUGGAAAACGAUUUUCUAGUGGUUGGGGAUGAGCUCGCGGCCUAUCAGCUUGUUGGUGGGGUAAUGGCCUACCAAGGCGGCGACGGGUAGCCGGCCUGAGAGGGUGGACGGCCACAUUGGGACUGAGAUACGGCCCAGACUCCUACGGGAGGCAGCAGUGGGGAAUAUUGCACGAUGGGCGGAAGCCUGAUGCAGCGACGCCGCGUGGGGGAUGACGGCCUUCGGGUUGUAAACUCCUUUCGACCGCGAGGAAGCCGCCUGGUUGGAAGGGUGGUGACGGUAGUGGUAGAAGAAGCACCGGCUAACUACGUG